UUUUCCCAGUUUUCUUCUGUUUCCGUGCUUCUGUGACAUCGUCAGUUGUUCGGCCGCCAUGCCGAUAUAACAGUUUUGCAUCAGUGCUUUGUGACCAUAGAGUUUCUCACUAUGUUAUGUUUGUGACAUCGGCUGUAUUGCGUUUUUUCGCCGACGGCUUACUACCACAAUGGCGGGAUCUGCGUUCGCCACCUCCGUUCUCGAUGCGCCGUUGUACGUCGCACGUUGGACGGCGGGACAUAUUGGUGUCUUGGCGCUAGCUGGAUGGCGGGACCUCAUCAUUAUGAUCAGUGAUGUAUGCUUUGCUGCUUGGAUUGAUAAAACAUGCGCCGAGGCUUCCAUACAAGAACGAACUUCAGCUGGCUCUGGCACCAUCAGUGCUUGGCUGGUACCUGCCGAAUGAAUCGUCACAGCUUUUGCUUGCCUGUGUCUACAAGAACCUUCACGUGUCACCUGCGACAGAAAGCAUUUGUGGGCAGCCAGUGCUCUCCUACAAAGACUGGCCUGCUCUGGCUGCGACAGCAAUGAUCUUGCACAUCUAUGCAUGGCCAACUUUGCUGCUAUUUGUCACUCUUGUUAAUUACACUUCCUGCAUCUUUUCUCAUUUAUUGGGUAAUAAAGUUUGACUGUGUGACAUGGUGU
rnacentral:lncRNA from 1 species